rnacentral:tRNA from 1 species
GAUCAUGGUAGUUUUAAACCUAAACCGCUAGGCCGUGGCCCUAACAAUAGAAGACCCCGUACCUUCUCCAUGACC